UGCACUCACUACUGUAAGUCGCUCUGGAUAAGAGCGUCUGCUAAAUGACUUAAA
rfam:Salmo salar isolate Sally breed double haploid chromosome ssa01, whole genome shotgun sequence.